rnacentral:rRNA from 1 species
UACGUAGGGUGCGAGCGUUGUCCGGAAUUAUUGGGCGUAAAGAGCUUGUAGGCGGUUUGUCGCGUCUGCCGUGAAAUUUCGAGGCUCAACCUCGAACUUGCGGUGGGUACGGGCAGACUAGAGUGUGGUAGGGGAGACUGGAAUUCCUGGUGUAGCGGUGAAAUGCGCAGAUAUCAGGAGGAACACCGGUGGCGAAGGCGGUUCUCUGGGCCUGUACUGACGCUGAGGAGCGAAAGCGUGGGGAGCGAACAGG